rnacentral:rRNA from 1 species
UACAGAGGGGGCAAGCGUUGUUCGGAAUUACUGGGCGUAAAGGGCGCGUAGGCGGCCUGCUAAGUCGAACGUGAAAUCCCUGGGCUCAACCCAGGAACUGCGUCCGAUACUGGUUGGCUUGAAUCCGGGAGAGGGAUGCAGAAUUCCAGGUGUAGCGGUGAAAUGCGUAGAUAUCUGGAGGAAUACCGGUGGCGAAGGCGGCAUCCUGGACCGAGAUUGACACUGAUGAGCGAAAGCCAGGGGAGCAAACGGG